AUUGAACGCUGGCGGCAUGCCUUACACAUGCAAGUCGAACGGCAGCACGGGUGCUUGCACCUGGUGGCGAGUGGCGAACGGGUGAGUAAUACAUCGGAACAUGUCCUGUAGUGGGGGAUAGCCCGGCGAAAGCCGGAUUAAUACCGCAUACGAUCUACGGAUGAAAGCGGGGGACCUUCGGGCCUCGCGCUAUAGGGUUGGCCGAUGGCUGAUUAGCUAGUUGGUGGGGUAAAGGCCUACCAAGGCGACGAUCAGUAGCUGGUCUGAGAGGACGACCAGCCACACUGGGACUGAGACACGGCCCAGACUCCUACGGGAGGCAGCAGUGGGGAAUUUUGGACAAUGGGCGAAAGCCUGAUCCAGCAAUGCCGCGUGUGUGAAGAAGGCCUUCGGGUUGUAAAGCACUUUUGUCCGGGAAGAAAUCCUUGGCUCUAAUACAGUCGGGGGAUGACGGUACCGGAAGAAUAAGCACCGGCUAACUACGUG
rnacentral:rRNA from 1 species